rnacentral:misc_RNA from 1 species
UCCGGUUUGGCACCUGUGUUACGGUUCCCUUUCGGGCACACCUCCAUCUCUGGAGACUUCCGUACAUGUCAAGGGUAGGUAAGGUUUUUCGCGUUGCAUCGAAUUAAUCCACAUAAUCCACCGCUUGUGCGGGUCCCCGUCAAUUCCUUUGAGUUUUAACCUUGCGGCCGUACUCCCCAGGCGGUCAACUUCACGCGUUAGCUUCGUUACCAAGGAAUUGCUUCCCCGACAACCAGUUGACAUAGUUUAGGGCGUGGACUAC